AGCGAACGAUAGCGGCAGGCCUAACACAUGCAAGUCGCACGAGAAUCCGGCUUCGGCCGGUAGUAAAGUGGCGGACGGGUGAGUAACACGUGGAUAAUCUGCCCUUCGGCGGGGGACAACAGUCCGAAAGGAUUGCUAAUACCGCAUACGUCAGCGAGGUCUUCGGACCUUGUUGGGAAAGAUGGCCUCUUCAUGAAAGCUAUCACCGAAGGAUGAGUCCGCGGCCCAUCAGCUAGUUGGCGGGGUAAUGGCCCACCAAGGCUAAGACGGGUAGCUGGUCUGAGAGGAUGAUCAGCCACACUGGAACUGAGACACGGACCAGACUCCUACGGGAGGCAGCAGUGGGGAAUAUUGGGCAAUGGGCGCAAGCCUGACCCAGCCAUGCCGCGUGAGUGAUGAAGGCCUUCGGGUCGUAAAGCUCUGUGGGGAGGGAAGAAACCGGACGUGGAUAACACCCACGGCUCUUGACGGUACCUCCUUAGCAAGCACCGGCUAACUCCGUGCCAGCCGCCGCCGUAACAC
rnacentral:rRNA from 1 species